AGAUGCAGAGCCUGUGGCUUAUAUUACCAACUAUGAUUCCCAUCCAGUACAAAGCAAUGAGCGAGUGGCAAAACAACCUAGGAGGAAGAGACCUCAUUUAAGAUCAAGCCAUGGUCAUCAACAACCUUUGCAGAUCCAUGGUGAUCAACAAUCUGUACCAAGCCAUGGUGAUCAACAACCUACGUCAAACCAUAUUACCAACUAUGAUUCCCAUCCAGUACAAAUCAAUGAGCGAGUGGCAAAACAACCUAGGAGGAAGAGACCUCGUUUAAGAUCAAGCCAUGGUCAUCAACAACCUUUGCCGAUCCAUGGUGAUCAACA
rnacentral:lncRNA from 1 species